GAGCAGCAGUGUGACCGAGUAGGCGGCGUUGAGGGAGUAGUUCUCUGCUGAUGAGAGUUUACCAAGAUCAGAUCAGAUGGGGGUUUAUGGUGAUACUAGUUUUGGUUUCAUGUGGGAAUCACUACACAUCUCCUGGUGGAGAUCAGAGAGAUGAAGAUGUUUGAAAAUGUCAUAAUGACUUCUCCUAUCAAAUCUAAGUUGUUUGUAUGAUUGAAAAUCCGAUGGGUGUUGUGGAAUCUAUUCUUUCAUCCCAAAAUAAGGGAUUUUCUCAUUUUUGUAUAUGGGAUUUCAUGUCUCCCCAAAUAUGUUCAAUUCAUGUCCAAACUCUAUUCCUGAAUAAAUGGAUUUGGAGAAUUGACUGCUCCUGAUGCUUCUUCAAAAAUGUAGAUCUGCAGAAAAUUUAAAAACUUAUAUUAUUGGUAAUCACUGGUUUAGAGAUGUUUUAUGUUGUUUGUUCAAGUAGAAAUUCCAAUCUUGUUAAGCUUUUGGAUAGAGACAAAGUAUGUAAUUGGCUUUAGUGGGAAAAAUUUCAGGGUCAUUAUUCAUAUCUGAUUCGGGUGUUUUGUAUGUACUUGUAUCUUUCGAUUAUCUGAACACAAAAAGAUCAGUUAGAAAGCUUACUGAUAUGCUGAAUUAAUUCGUUUAGAUAUUUAGUUUAGAUAUGCUGAAUUAAUUAGUCUCAAAUUGUGAUUUUUUGAUUUACUUCAUGUAUAAUUAGUGUUUGUUUUUGACGGUAGUUAACAUGACUACACACAUAUUUUGAUGCU